UACGUAGGGUGCGAGCGUUGUCCGGAAUUAUUGGGCGUAAAGAGCUUGUAGGCGGUUUGUCGCGUCUGCCGUGAAAAUUCGAGGCUCAACCUCGAACUUGCGGUGGGUACGGGCAGACUAGAGUGUGGUAGGGGAGACUGGAAUUCCUGGUGUAGCGGUGAAAAUGCGCAGAUAUCAGGAGGAACACCGAUGGCGAAGGCAGGUCUCUGGGCCACUACUGACGUGAGAAGCGAAAGCAUGGGGGAGCGAACAGG
rnacentral:rRNA from 1 species